UUACCGGGAACUCAACCCAUCCCCCAAUCUGUAUCGAUUAGGGCUGGGAAUACCGGCCUUCUAAUACCUGGCCCCUGCACAGCACUGACCCCUAUCGGCGAGUGGAUGCUGUAAUGGCCCUCCAAACCUAUAACCGGUUCAGUCUAUGAGAGGAGAAACCCGGACAUGGGCACUGAAACAAGGGCCCAGGGCCUAUGGGGCGCAUAAGGCCGAAACCUCUGUAAAAUGCCAAAGCCUGACUGGGUUACUGGGGGGGGAGAUUCCGCUAAGGGGAUUUUUUGCCACCUCUAAAAAUGGUGCAGAAUAGGGGGUGGGCAUAGUCUGGUGUCAGCCGCCGCGGUAAUACCAGCCCCCCAAGUGGCGGGAUAAUUAUGGGACCUAGAGCAUCAGUAGCCCGUUCUGCAAAUCUGCUCAUUAAAUCCUGCCUCUCAGAUGAUGGGCCGCAGAAGAUACUACAGGACUAGGAGGCGAUGAUGCGAGCCUACUCUGUGAGUAUGGUUAUAUCUCUGAUCUAUUGACACGACCAUGAGAAGGCUUCUUGCCAGAACGCUCUCGACGUGAAGGAUUGAUGCUGGGCAACAAACCGAUAGAUACGCUGUGGUCCAGCUGCUACGAUCACCUUGCUGAGGACGAGCUUGCUCCUCCUGCUGCCGCAGGCAUCGUAAGUCUGCGCCUGGAAGUACGCUCCAGGCUGAAACUGAGUAAUGGAU
rnacentral:rRNA from 1 species